GCAGUCGAACGAUGAUCCUGGAGCUUGCUCUGGGGGAUUAGUGGCGAACGGGUGAGUAACACGUGAGUAACCUGCCCUUGACUCUGGGAUAACCUCCGGAAACGGAAGCUAAUACCGGAUAUGACGCACGGAGGCAUCUCCUGUGCGUGGAAAGAAUUUCGGUCAAGGAUGGACUCGCGGCCUAUCAGGUAGUUGGUGAGGUAAUGGCUCACCAAGCCUACGACGGGUAGCCGGCCUGAGAGGGUGACCGGCCACACUGGGACUGAGACACGGCCCAGACUCCUACGGGAGGCAGCAGUGGGGAAUAUUGCACAAUGGGCGAAAGCCUGAUGCAGCAACGCCGCGUGAGGGACGACGGCCUUCGGGUUGUAAACCUCUUUUAGUAGGGAAGAAGCGAAAGUGACGGUACCUGCAGAAAAAGCACCGGCUAACUACGUGCCAGCAGCCGCGGUAAUACGUAGGGUGCAAGCGUUGUCCGGAAUUAUUGGGCGUAAAGAGCUCGUAGGCGGUUUGUCGCGUCUGCUGUGAAAUCCCGAGGCUCAACCUCGGGUCUGCAGUGGGUACGGGCAGACUAGAGUGCGGUAGGGGAGAAUGGAAUUCCUGGUGUAGCGGUGGAAUGCGCAGAUAUCAGGAGGAACACCGAUGGCGAAGGCAGUUCUCUGGGCCGUAACUGACGCUGAGGAGCGAAAGCGUGGGGAGCGAACAGGAUUAGAUACCCUGGUAGUCCACGCCGUAAACGUUGGGCGCUAGAUGUGGGGACCAUUCCACGGUUUCCGUGUCGCAGCUAACGCAUUAAGCGCCCCGCCUGGGGAGUACGGCCGCAA
rnacentral:rRNA from 1 species